rnacentral:rRNA from 1 species
CAGUAGCGUAUAUUAAAGUUGUUGCAGUUAAAAAGCUCGUAGUUGGAUUUGUGGUGUACUUCGGCGGCCCGUCACUAUGUGAUGGAGCUUGCUGAAGUCGCCAUCCUUGGGUGGAUCCUGUGUGGCAUUAAGUUGUCGUGCAGGGGAUGCCCAUCGUUUACUGUGAAAAAAUUAGAGUGUUCAAAGCAGGCUUAUGCCGUUGAAUAUAUUAGCAUGGAAUAAUAAGAUAGGACCUUGGUACUAUUUUGUUGGUUUGCGCACCAAGGUAAUGAUUAAUAGGGACAGUUGGGGGUAUUCGUAUUUCAUUGUCAGAGGUGAAAUUCUUGGAUUUUUGAAAGACGAACUACUGCGAAAGCAUUUACCAAGGAUGUUUUCAUUAA